AUGCCGGCGAUUGGGCAGCAGCACCGGGCUGCGCCGCCGCCCCACUUUGUUGCCCGACAGCCACAGCAUCGGCCUGGGCCGGUGCAGACGCGGGAUCCGCCGCCUCAACCUGAGCAUGUGGGCGAUGUAGGCGCUGGACACGCUCGAUUCCCGGUCAACCGUGGUGGUAACGGACCACCUCGGGGACAGUGGGGUGACGAUGGCUAUGACGUCUAUGGUGAGGGCCAACACUGCGGUUCCUCGUCGACCGGAGGCGGGCGUGGGUUUGCAUGGCAGAGUGAUGGCACUGCUGAGAGACCUUUUUAUGGUCCUCCGGGAGGUUUUGUUGAGGGGGCAUCUGGCCUAGACUACCGGCAGAGAGGUGGUUACCGAGGUCAUCGUGGUGGUCGCGGUGGUCGGAAUCGUUACCGCCAACCUCCAAUGCCUGUUGUUGUGGAGCCGACGGCGUCCUCGGAGGUGGGUGCUUCUGGAUUGACGCCGGAGUUGUCCGGCCAGGUUAUGGAAGCGGUGACGGCACUGGCUAACACUGACAUACCUGUGACUGAGCCUGCGCCCACAGGUGCUGUCAGUGCCGCCGACAAGUCUGAUGUGGAUAGAGCUUCCAAGUGGGCUCGUAAAAAGGAGAAGAUGUGCUACCGUUGUGGAGAGAGGGGCCACUUUAUUGCUGAGUGUGAAACUGAGUAA
rnacentral:rRNA from 1 species